rnacentral:misc_RNA from 1 species
GAAAUGCGAUAAGUAGUGUGAAUUGCAGAAUUCAGUGAAUCAUCGAAUCUUUGAACGCACAUUGCGCCCUUUGGUAUUCCAAAGGGCAUGCCUGUUCGAGCGUCAUUUGUACCCUCAAGCUUUGCUUGGUGUUGGGCGUCUUGUCUCUAGCUUUGCUGGAGACUCGCCUUAAAGUAAUUGGCAGCCGGCCUACUGGUUUCGGAGCGCAGCACAAGUCGCACUCUCUAUCAGCAAAGGUCUAGCAUCCAUUAAGCCUUUUUUUCAACUUUUGACCUCGGAUCAGGUAGGGAUACCCGCUGAACUUAAG